GGAGAGGUGCCCGGAGUGGUUUAUCGGGGACCAGCGAGCACGCUCACGGUCGGGCCCCUGCACGGGCCCACGCAGGUUCGAAUCCUGCCCUCUCCGCCA
rnacentral:tRNA from 1 species